rnacentral:rRNA from 1 species
CCCUUAGAUGUUCUGGGCCGCACGCGUGCUACACUGAGUAAUUCAAUGGGUAAGGGAACGCUAGAGCAUUACCUAAUCUUGAAAUUUGCUCGUGAUGGGGAUCGACGGUUGCAAUUUUCCGUCGUGAACGAGGAAUACCUUGUAGGCGCAUGUCAUCAUCAUGCGCCGAAUACGUCCCUGCCCUUUGUACACACCGCCCGUCGCUACUACCGAUUGGAUGGUUUAGUGAGAUCCUCGGAUUGGUCCCAGCGCGGCCUCUGGUCGUGCCGGAGUGCCGAAAAGAAUGUCGAACUUGAUCAUCUAGAGGAAGUAAAAGUCGUAACA